AAGUUUGUUACAUUGAUGGACUGGUUUAGUUUUUGUAUUAAAUACCUAAUAGCUCAACUUAAGCCUUAGGAAAUUUACUAUUUGUUUUAAUUUACGGUUUCUUUGGCUUAUGGGUGAUGCUUGUUUCAAACUUCUAUGGUAGAAAUGAUACAGAUCUACAUUUGACUAAUUUGGUCCCUUGUUGCCUGGACAUCUUAAAGUUGAUUUUGGUGAUGCAGUUGCCCUUUAGAAAAUCUUUAAAGGUUAGGAGAAUAUAUUAUUCAAAGACAUCGUCACUCUUGUGUUUGCAAUUUAUGUGUUAAGAAAUCUGUUACUAAAAGAAUCAUAAAAAAAAUCAUCUUGUUUGUGUAUUUCCACUAUAAAAUAGCCCUAUAUAUUUGUUUAUUGCUUCGCAAUAGGGAUUUAUAUACUUGGCAUCUGGUUUAACUUAUUACUUGCCAUUCUUAUGGAAUGUAGAGCACCGUGACUGAAUAGCUGGGUUUUUGUUUGAGCCUAUUCAAGGAGAGGUAGGGGUAUGUAUGAUUGGACAUAAAUCUUUUUACACUACUGAUGGUUGAUUUUCUUUUUAUACCCAUUGUUUGGGUUAUAAUGAGUUUAUUUCUACUUUUGAUCCAUCCUUAUUGGACUUCAAUGAAAUUGCAAGUUUGUUUGCACAAACGAGUUUCUAUAUCCAGAUUCAUGGCAAUUUGAGAGAGUCCGCCACUGCAAUGUUGGUAUUUUUCUUUUACAUGUUCUCCUUUUACAAAAUUUCAAAUUGUAAUGUUACAAGAGAACAACUUUCACUUGUUGGUGAUAUUUCCAUAGUUCAAGUUAUGUACUUUUUCUUGUGUAUAAAAGUGAAGGUAGAAAACAUGAUUAUUGAAAAUGUUCUUUUUUCAUCUUGUCUUAUGUUCUUCUUUUCCACUUUUGUGGUAUGAAUUUUUCUUCAAAUUCACACAAUAAUGUUCAUUGCAAAUUAGGUAGAUUUUAUUUUCUCAUCAUUGCCACAUUCUAUUAGUCAAGAAUACCACGUUCUAUUGCUAUGUGGUAAUAUUUACUUAAGUUAUUAAUGGUCAUAAGUGGAAUAUAAAGUUUCAUAUUGAUUUAAAAGAAUGUACAGGGGUAAAUGCAUAGUUAUGUUCUGUGUAAGUUUAAUAUCAACUUCAUUUUAUUUUAACUUGGAAUUGGAAGCAGAACUAGAAGGGUUUUGACAUAGAUGUGAAGAAGUUGGAACAAUUGGAUUAUUUUGAUAGUAUUACAUUUUGUAAAGUAUAUAUUGUGAUGGAGUUUGAUUACUACUCUGCCCAUGUUUUAUCCAUCUUUUACUUUAUUUUUCAUGGCAAAUAAAGGAUGAAAUACUAGUCAUAAAAGAUUUAUUUUUAAAUUUUUUAUUUAAUUUUAUGGAGAUAGAGGGCCUAGAAGGUGUUUGAUAAAAUGUGUGAAUAGAGAAAAAGGUGAAAAAUAGUGAAGAACAAGACUUGGUUAUUGUCGUUGUGCUCCACACUCUUCAAUAGUAUCAAAUGGUACAAUUUACUUCUUCACAGGGAAUUAUAUUGAAUAGUAUCAGAUGGACACAUGUUUGUACUUGACGUCCUUGUUCGUUGUUGCUCUUUCAUAUAUUACCAGGACUCUUCUUUGUUUAAUACUUGUUUUCUUUGAGUAGUUUCAAAGUUUAACUAACUUCUUUUCUGCUUGAAUCGAUAGUGAUGGACGUGUCUAACAUAAAAAUAGGUCGUUGAUAAUAGCAAAUUCCCAGAUUUAAGAUCGAUUCUGUUGAAUUUGAAACACUCACACUAGGGUCCUUGCCGCCAACUUUUCAAGAUUGGCUCUACUGUUGGUGGUACUUAUUUUAGCUCAUGAAUUGGAGGUAGUAGAGGAUGCAAAAUGCAAGUUUAUUUGAAGCCAAGUUUCAUUCAAGGUCAUUGAGUUGG